GGGGGCAGCAUGCAAUGUGGGAGGGGCUUGGGGGCGGGCCCCGAGAUCCCAGGUUAAACCAGCAGGCCACCUCUAACCCGAUCCAAAGAGAAACUGGGCGGGAGAAUGAAUGGCAAGAUUGAUCUGGGGCACUAAUAGCAUUUAGGGCGUCUAGAGCAGGUAUAAUCCAUGUACCAUCUUGUCUGCUCUCUGAUUUUCCCCUCCCCUCCCUGGACGGUAUAUCCGUCUGUCCCACCUCACCUUCCACAAAGAAGCCCACAUAAGACAAAAAUCUUUUAUCCCUCUCAACAAUCUACACAUCAAGUUGGGGAUGAAAAUCUGGGAGCGGUUUAAUUAUUAAAAACCAGAAACCCUGUCCUACCUCUUGGUGAUAGAGAGGGUGGGGGAAAGUGUGCUUGGUUGCUAGGCAACCUGUGUACAGCUGGAUGCCUCUGGUGAUAGUUAAAGGGAGAUCUGGAACUAGAGGUCAAUGUGAUGAAGAAAGCUCCAACUUAGGUCACUAGAAUGAGGGGGAUAUCCUAGACACAACCAUCAGAAAACUGUGAAGUAGCCUAGGUCUCAUGAUUGUGAAGCUACCAUACCAACUUUGGACUAGGUUUUUUAUUUAAAAGAAAUAAAAACAUGGUAAGUUGCUGUUAUUGACUCUUUGUUAUCAUUAACUGAGCUGCGUUCCAACUUAUCAAAAGGGAUCUGGACUCAUAACAAAAGACUUAGGAGACAGCUUCAGUCAUCUGUAUCAUGAACUGAUGGAAGUCAAAUUAAGCUGCUGAUAAAAGGAGUUGAAGUGUUUAAGAAAUAUUUACACAGAAUGAGAGGACCUACAAAUUGGAAGAGUAAACUGCUGGAGAUGGGCCUUCAGGUGAUGACUGAUCAUACAAUGUUAGAAGAUACUGUCCAGUGAGUUUUGGGAUGAAAAAAACAUGUCCAGCUGGGCAUGGCAACUUGUUCCUAUAUUCCUAGCAUUCCAGAGGAUAGCAUGGUGUUGUGUAGCAAUUUCUUCCCAGACCCAAAACUACAUCUUGGAGGAAAGCUGCUUAAAGAAGAGAAUUGAAGUAUUCCAUUCUGCAGGGAAUCUCCUUCAAACUCAGGAAGUAAACAACUCAAAAAUUUUAAAACUUCCUGAAUCUGACCAGAUGCACUAGGCCCCUCCCUCUCCAAGCAUACAUAUACAGCAAGGACUGCUGAGAGACACUCUCAAAAAAGAUAAGCUGUCUGGAAGAGACACUCUCAAUCUGUUGAGAUGCCUGCAAAGUAUGCAGUUUGCCCUGGGUUCUACCUUUUGUGAGCUCUCAGACAUGCUGGGCUAGGCUUCUGGUGAUGUGCUGUCCCGGAGUCAUUUCUGGUCCUGUAAGUAACCCCUUAUGCACGUUCCUGUAAGUAAUUCCAAUAAAUCAUUAGUUCAACAAA